GGUUGUGGCUCAGUGGCAGAGCGCUUGCCUAGCAUGUGCGAGGCACUGGGUUUGAUUCUCAGCACCA
rnacentral:tRNA from 1 species